rnacentral:lncRNA from 1 species
GUAUUCUUCUAAAUCUUCAAUCAACCUCAAAUCUUGGUCCUUUAAUUUGCUUUGAUUUGAAUUUCAAAAUCCCUAAUUCUAUCCUUUUAGUUGUAAAAUCAAUAUAACCCACCGAUUGAUUAUGAGAAAUCAGAAACCAAAUUUCCAACAUCGAUGGUACACCAUGCUUUUGAUCUCUCGAUUUAGGUAGGUUUAAUAUGUUUUAUAUCAAGUUUUUUAAGUUUGAUUUGAGGUUUACCAGGUUUACAUUUAUCAAUUUCCAACAUGUUUUUAGAGGCUAAAAAGAUCACAACGAAGACAGAUUGAGCUGGGUAUUUUCAACCCAUAACGAUUGUUGCUGCUACUACUUUGAAGAGCAGAAACAACAAAGUUAAACUCAUGUUUGUGUUUUUCAAUUUUUGUGUUUUUUGUUCUGUGGGUCUUAUAAUUCUGAUGUUUCUCCUUUUUUUUCAUGAUUCCUCAUGUUUGUUUCUUUGACUGCUGACUUUUCGAAUUGCUGUUGUUGUUUUUUUUGUUGAUGGAUUGAAGUUUUUUUUAUUCAGAAUCAAAAUGUGAAAGUUUUGGGUCAUCUGAUCUUGAUAUUGAAACAAAGUUUUGUUAUUCUAUAUGUAUGAAGAAACUCCCCCUUUAUAUAAGGAAAGAGUUGUGGAUGCUGAUAUAUUUGCUUUUUUUUUUUUGGGUUCAUCUGGUAUUAGUUAAUCCGGAAUCCAAAAAGCUUAAAAAUCAGAAAAUUAUGGAGAUCAGGUAGCUUUAUUUGAAUAUGGGUAGAUAUUCUAUAUUUCUGAUAGGUUUUAUUGGUUUAAUUGAAGCCUAAAGAACCAUGCUUAAAGGAUUUGUACUUGAAUUUUCUUGCAGGUAACUAUUUUGUAUUUACAUUAUAUGAUUGAUCUCAAAAAUAGCAUGAUCAAAAUAUUUUUGGACUUUGAAAUUCAUUCACGUAAUAUCGAAUUCAACUUAAUCAUAAUUUCUUAAUUAUUUUGGAAUUUUCUCAUGGCCUUUCCUUAGGAUGUUUAAUUGUUUGUAGAUCUGAUAUAAAAUGACUAAGUGUGUGUACAAUGGAUUGUAGAUCUGAUGAUAUGUCAUAUGUUUUUUUAAAUGUAGAUCUGAUAUGACUUCGUGUGUAUACUCUUCAAACAGGCAAAAUAAGAUGAAGGGACAUAAUGAUUGAAAGGCUGAUAAGUUGGUAUUAAUAUAUCAUUGAUCCGAUGUGAAGAUGGAGAUGAUGAAAAAGCUCUUAAAGAGCAAAAAAGUCAAUUUCUAAGGGUUUUCUUGGAUGUGUCUAUCUGAAGCCCUUAAAAAUUCAUUGCUCUCCACGAUAACCUUUUAAUAAGGGCAUUGUUUCUCUUUAAGCUCAAAAAGCUUUAAAAGUUCAUGUUGUUUUUAUUCUUAUUAUGUUACUGAAACUUUUUGAGUUGAUGCAGUUACUUUUAUAAUAGGUGCAUAUUGUUUGUAUUUUAAUUUAGUCCCAUAAUGAAUCAGAUUGACAUCUUUGGUUUAUAUGCUUCGUUAUGUCAUUCAUGCAAUAUGUUUAAAAUUAGUUUGUACUUGGAUGACAUUGCUUUUUGU